rnacentral:tRNA from 1 species
GGUUGUGGCUCAAUGGUAUAGCAUUCGCCUAGCAUGUGUGAGGCACUGGGUUUGAUCCUCAGAACCA